GUGACUAUGCGACGCCGCGUGGAGGAUGAAGGCCUUCGGGUUGUAAACUCCUGUCAGGGGGGGAGAAACCUUACGUGUUAACAGCGCGUAAGCUGACAUCACCCCCAAAGGAAGCCACGGCUAACUCUGUGCCAGCAGCCGCGGCAAGACAGAGGUGGCAAGCGUUGUUCGGAUUUAUUGGGUGUAAAGGGCAGGUAGGCCGUUGUAUAAGUCCGGUGUGAAAUCCCACGGCUCAACCGUGGAACGGCAUUGGAUACUGUAUGACUUGAGUGUCGGAGAGGUGAGGGGAAUUCUCGGUGUAAGGGUGAAAUCUGUAGAUAUCGAGAGGAACACCAGUGGCGAAGGCGCCUCACUGGCCGACAACCGACGCUGAGGCGCGAAAGCUAGGGGAGCAAACGGGAUUAGAUACCCCGGUAGUCCUAGCCGUAAACGAU
rnacentral:rRNA from 1 species